GAGAUAAAUCAUUCAAGUUUCUGCCCUAUCAGCUUUCGAUGGUAGUGUAUUGGACUACCAUGGCAGUAACGGGUAACGAAGAAUUAGGGUUCGAUUUCGGAGAGGGAGCAUGAGAAACGGCUACCACAUCUAAGGAAGGCAGCAGGCGCGUAAAUUACCCAAUCCUGACUCAGGGAGGUAGUGACAAGAAAUAGCAAACCGGGAACCUCAUGGUUUCACGGUAUUGCAAUGAGAACAAUUUAAAACCCUUAGCGAGAAUCAAGUGGAGGACAAGUCUGGUGCCAGCACCCGCGGUAAUUCCAGCUCCACUAGCGUAUAUUAAAGUUGUUGCAGUUAAAAAGCUCGUAGUUGAACCUCUGUCUGGGGCUAGUUUUGGCUUUGGUCAGGCUAGUUCUAGGCAUCCGCCUACAAGACUUAGAGGGCAUUCAGUUGUUCACUAGGAGGAGUAGGCAUUUUACUUUGAAAAAAUUAGAGUGUUUAAGGCAGGCAAUCGCCCGCAUAUAUUAGCAUGGAAUAAUAGAAUAGGACACUUUUCCAUUUCGUUGGUUAUUGGAAUCGUGUAAUGAUUAAUAGGGACAGUUGUGGGCAUUUGUAUUUAAUUGUCAGAGGUGAAAUUCUUGGAUUUAUUAAAGACAAACUAACGCGAAAGCAUUUGCCAAGGAUGUUUUCAUUAAUCAAGAACGAAAGUUAGGGGAUCAAAGACGAUCAGAUACCGUCCUAGUCUUAACUAUAAACUAUUCCGACUCAAUGUUUGACUGGCUUAUAUAACCAGUUGAGCGUUGUAUGAGAAAUCAAAGUCUUUAGGUUCUGGGGGGAGUAUGGUUGCAAAGCUGAAACUUAAAGGAAUUGACGGAAGAGCACAACCAGGAGUGGAUUCUGCGGCUUAAUUUGACUCAACACGGGGAAACUUACCAGGUUAAAACAAUAGUGGGAUUGACAGUUUGAGAGCGCUUUCUUGAUUGGUUGGGUGGUGGUGCAUGGCCGUUCUUAGUUGGUGGAGUGAUUUGUCUGCUUAAUUGCGUUAACGAACGAGACCUUAACCUGCUUACUAGACUGGCGAUCAUCAAUCGUUAGCUCUUCUUAGAGGGACUUUGGUUGUUUUAACUCCAAGGAAGUUUGAGGCAAUAACAGGUCUGUGAUGCCCUUAGAUAUCCUGGGCCGCACGCGUCAUACAAUGACUAGUUCAGAAAGUUUUCUCCUGACCCGAAAGGGGAUGGGUAGUCUUGAUAAUACUAGUCGUGUUAGGGAUCGAUCUUUG
rnacentral:rRNA from 1 species